CGCCGCUGAGUGCCGGGGGCGGGGCAAGGACGCCGCUGCCGAGCGAGGGAAGGGCGAGGGGCGGGAGCUUGCGGUGGUCGGGCCAGGGUCUGUGCUGGACAGUGGGAGAAAGGUCCGUGCUGGUUGCUGUGUCCUCGGUGAGCAGAGAGCUCUGACCUUGGCCGCAUGGGCUGCUGAGUGCUGGAACAAUGGGGAUGCGCUUUUAUUUAUUUAGUGACCUUUACAGAUUUAUUCCCCUGUUUCAGGACAGCGUGAAGACUGAAAAUGUAAGAAGAUGUGGAGGGAAACAGAGAAUCUGACAGUAGCAUCGAACGUACAAGUGCACGAAUUUUGCUUUUUUGCUUGGAUUUAAACUCCGAAGUUGUAAGGAAUUUGGGAAUGAGAAGGGACCUUUCAGAAGAAGAAGGAGUUGUUGUUACAGUCCUGGCAAAAGCCUUUGUUCUAGCUAAUAAAAGAAGUUAGUGAAGAAAAAAAA